rnacentral:rRNA from 1 species
CUACGGGUUGCAGCAGUGAGGAAUAUUGCGCAAUGAGCGAAAGCUAGACGCAGCAACGCCGCGUGAGCGAAGAAGGCCUUCGGGUUGUAAAGCUCUUUUCUGUGUGAAGAGAAGGACGGUAGCACAGGAAUAAGUGUCGGCUAACUACGUGCCAGCAGCCGCGGUAAAACGUAGGACGCAAGCGUUAUCCGGAUUUACUGGGCGUAAAGCGCGUGCAGGCGGUCAGUUAAGUUAUGCGUGAAAGCUCCCGGCUCAACCGGGAGAGGUCGUAUAAAACUGAUUGACUUGAAGGCAGCAGAGGCGUGUGGAAUUCCAGGUGUAGUGGCGAAAUGCGUAGAUAUCUGGAGGAACACCAGUGGCGAAGGCGACACGCUGGGCUGUACUUGACGCUAAGACGCGAAAGCGUGGGUAGCGAACGGGAUUAGAUACCCGGGUAGUC